AAUGACCUUUUAUGUAUUAACGAAGAUAAAAAGGAAACUCAAUUGUUUCCUCAAUUAUAUUUCAGAUCCGAAAAGAGUCUCUCUUUUCGCUCUCCUCCUCUUUCAGCCUACCACCAUCACUACCUCUACCACCGUCUCUGUCGUCUUCGCCACCACCUCCGCAGCAAUCACCUCAAUCAAUCGACCCCUUUGAUGAUUUCGAUUUUCAGCGUGUUUAAGAUCUUGACAUUAAUGGUGCAUUUCAAACAGAACUUGUUAAAGUCUUUUGUAUUUGAUUUCUAAUAGAUCGAAAUUGGAGAGGUACUGUCUCUCUUCAUAUUGGUGGCUUUUGUUGGGAUGUUGGAAUCAACAAUGGAGAUUGACUUAUUUUGCAACUAUUUUAGCUUCACGAGCAGAUUUGGGAACUACUACAUUGGGGAUUAUGUAUGUAUUAGGUACUGAAAUCACCAGCAAUGCAUGAUAUUAAUAAUUUAUGGGAUCAACUCCUACUGUUGAUACCACUUUUAUGGGAUCAAAUAUUGUUGUUGAUUCAACAAAAGGGAUCAACUCCUGUUGUUUACUCCAUUUUUAUGGGAUCAGCUACUGUUGUUGACAGCAUUUCCUUGGAUUAGUAUAAUUAUGCCUGUAGUUUAAAUGCUUUGAUUUUUAUAGAUGUAAAUUUUUCAAAAUGUUGAGUUUGUGGUGCAAUGGUAGCUUGACUGAU